rnacentral:ncRNA from 1 species
UCGCGGGGCCGGGGAAGCCGUUCGAGCAGCGUCGUGUCGCGGUCCGGGACUGUCCUCAGUCCCGGGUCGUCUCGGCGCGGUUCCGAGCGGUCGCUCCCUCGCGAGGUGCCGCGGGUCAGCGGCUGACGCCAGCCACCUUCCCGACCCGUCUUGAAACACGGACCAAGGAGUCUAACAUGUGCGCGAGCCGCGGGGCAGUACGAAACCCGUAAGGCGAAAUGAAGGUGAACGCCGGCGCGGUCCGGCGCAGGUUGGAUCCCGUCCCGUCGGGGCGGGCGCACUACCGGCCGAUCUUCUCCGCCCUGUCGGCGAGGUCGAGCGAGAGCGUGCAAGUCGGGACCCGAAAGAUGGUGAACUAUGCCUGAGGAGGUUGAAGCCAGAGGAAACUCUGGUGGAGGACCGUAGCGAUUCUGACGUGCAAAUCGAUCGUCAAAUUUGGGUAUAGGGGCGAAAGACUAAUCGAACCGUCUAGUAGCUGGUUCCCUUCGAAGUUUCCCUCAGGAUAGCUGGCGCUCUGUCGCAGUUUUAUCUGGUAAAGCGAAUGAUUAGAGGUCUUGGGGGCGAAACGCCCUCAACCUAUUCUCAAACUUUAAAUUGGUAAGAAGCCCGACUCGCUCGUUUGGAGCCGGGCAUGGAAUGCGAGUGCCAAGUGGGCCACUCUUGGUAAGCAGGACUGGCGAUGCGGGAUGAACCGAACGCCGGGUUAAGGCGCCCGACGCGACGCUCAUCAGAGCCCACAAAAGGUGUUGGUUGAUAUAGACAGCAGGACGGUGGCCAUGGAAGUCGGAAACCGCUAAGGAGUGUGUAACAACUCACCUGCCGAAUCAAUCAGCCCUGAAAAUGGAUGGCGCUGGAGCGUCGGGCCUAUACCCGGCCGUCGCGGCGGUACGAGCAUCGAGUUGGUGCGCUAGCCCGCGACAGUAAGGAGGGCCGCGGCGGCGGGCGUAAAAUCCUAGGGCGCGAGCCCGGGU